rnacentral:rRNA from 1 species
UCCUAAGGUAGCGAAAUUCCUUGUCGGGUAAGUUCCGACCUGCACGAAUCGUGAAACGAGUUGGGCGCUGUCUCGACCAGGUGCUCAGUGAAAUUGUAACGCCGGUGAAGAUGCCGGCUACCCGCAGAAGGACGGAAAGACCCUAUAGACCUUAACUGUAAGCUGUCAUUGGCUUUUUGAUCUGCAUGCUCAGCAUAAGUGGGAGGCAUCGAAGGCGCCCUUCAGGGGGCGCCGGAGCCGCCAGUGAGAUACCACCCUUGUGCAUUGGAGAGUCUAACCCCGCCGCCGUGAAUCCGGCCGGGGAACAGUGUCAGCCGGUCAGUUUUACUGGGGCGGUAUCCUCCCAAAGAGUAACGGAGGAGCGCGAAGGUGGGUUCAGCACGGUCGGCAACCGUGUGUCGAGUGCAUAGGCAUAAACCCGCCUAACUGUGAGGCCCACGAGCCGAGCAGAUACGAAAGUAGGCCUAAGUGAUCCGGCGGUUGAAUGUGGAAUUGCCGUCGCUCAACGGAUAAAAGGU